rnacentral:rRNA from 1 species
UGGGGAUAUUGCACAAUGGGGGGAAACCCUGAUGCAGCGACGCCGCGUGGAGGAAGAAGGUUUUCGGAUUGUAAACUCCUGUCGUUAGGGACGAUAAUGACGGUACCUAACAAGAAAGCACCGGCUAACUACGUGCCAGCAGCCGCGGUAAAACGUAGGGUGCAAGCGUUGUCCGGAAUUACUGGGUGUAAAGGGAGCGCAGGCGGGCUGGCAAGUUGGAAGUGAAAACCAUGGGCUCAACCCAUGAAUUGCUUUCAAAAACUGCUGGUCUUGAGUAGUGCAGAGGUAGCGGAAUUCCCGGUGUAGCGGUGGA